AGUCGUAACAAGGUUUCUGUAGGUGAACCUGCAGAAGGAUCAUUAGUGAAGAUUUGGGCAGGCCAUACGGACGCCAAAAAGUGUCCCUGGCCGCCUACACCCACUAUACAUCCACAAACCCGUGUGCACUGUCUUGGAGAAAGGCUUCAGAGAAGUUUUUUGUGGCCUCUCUUGGGGUCUUUCUUCGCUACAAACUCGAAUGGUUAGUAUGAACGUGGAACUUGGUUGGACCGUCACUGGCCAACAAACUAUACACAACUUUCGACAACGGAUCUCUUGGUUCUCCCAUCGAUGAAGAACGCAGCGAAACGCGAUAGGUAAUGUGAAUUGCAGAAUUCCGUGAAUCAUCGAAUCUUUGAACGCACCUUGCGCUCUAUGGCAAUCCGUAGAGCAUGCCUGUUUGAGUGCCAUGAAAUCUCCCACCCCAAGCGGUUUUUACAUGAAACGGCUUGGCGGAUGGGGUCUGGAUGGGUGCCUCUGCCUGCGCUACCUAGCACAGGCUCGCCCGAAAUGCAUGAGCGCCUUGAGACACUUUGCAUCCGCCUCUCUGUUUGGGAGGAGGCGGCCAAGCAGUGUUUUUCUCCUGGCAUGGCAUGAUACGUCAUUUGCUAUGUCGCCUAAAGGAGGAAUGUUUGGUUGUGUCUGCGUGUGCUUCGAACUUGCCUCUGUGGCACAUCCCAAUUUCACUUCUGGUCUCAAAUCAGGUAGGAUCACCCGCUGAACUUAAGCAUAUCAAUAAAGUCG
rnacentral:rRNA from 1 species